GCAAGUCGAGGGGCAGCAUGAACUUAGCUUGCUAAGUUUGAUGGCGACCGGCGCACGGGUGAGUAACACGUAUCCAACCUGCCGAUGACUCGGGGAUAGCCUUUCGAAAGAAAGAUUAAUACCCGAUGGCAUAGUUCUUCCGCAUGGUAGAACUAUUAAAGAAUUUCGGUUAUCGAUGGGGAUGCGUUCCAUUAGUUUGUUGGCGGGGUAACGGCCCACCAAGACUACGAUGGAUAGGGGUUCUGAGAGGAAGGUCCCCCACAUUGGAACUGAGACACGGUCCAAACUCCUACGGGAGGCAGCAGUGAGGAAUAUUGGUCAAUGGACGAGAGUCUGAACCAGCCAAGUAGCGUGAAGGAUGACUGCCCUAUGGGUUGUAAACUUCUUUUAUAUGGGAAUAAAGUAUUCCACGUGUGGGAUUUUGUAUGUACCAUAUGAAUAAGGAUCGGCUAACUCCGUGCCAGCAGCCGCGGUAAUACGGAGGACCCGAGCGUUAUCCGGAUUUAUUGGGUUUAAAGGGAGCGUAGGUGGAUUGUUAAGUCAGUUGUGAAAGUUUGCGGCUCAACCGUAAAAUUGCAGUUGAAACUGGCAGUCUUGAGCACAGUAGAGGUGGGCGGAAUUCGUGGUGUAGCGGUGAAAUGCUUAGAUAUCACGAAGAACUCCGAUUGCGAAGGCAGCUCACUAGACUGCAACUGACACUGAUGCUCGAAAGUGUGGGUAUCAAACAGGAUUAGAUACCCUGGUAGUCCACACAGUAAACGAUGAAUACUCGCUGUUUGCGAUAUACAGUAAGCGGCCAAGCGAAAGCAUUAAGUAUUCCACCUGGGGAGUACGCCGG
rnacentral:rRNA from 1 species